rnacentral:rRNA from 1 species
CCUACGGGUGGCUGCAGUGGGGAAUAUUGCACAAUGGGGGAAACCCUGAUGCAGCGACGCCGCGUGAGCGAAGAAGUACCUCGGUAUGUAAAGCUCUAUCAGCAGGGAAGAAAGUGACAGUACCUGACUAAGAAGCCCCGGCUAACUACGUGCCAGCAGCCGCGGUAAUACGUAGGGGGCAAGCGUUAUCCGGAUUCACUGGGCGUAAAGGGAGCGCAGGCGGCGCGGCAAGUCUGAUGUGAAAGCCCGGGGCUCAACCUCGGGGCUGCAUUGGAAACUGUCGAGCUAGAGUGUCGGAGGGGUAAGCGGAAUUCCUAGUGUAGCGGUGAAAUGCGUAGAUAUUAGGAGGAACACCAGUGGCGAAGGCGGCUUACUGGACGAUGACUGACGCUGAGGCUCGAAAGCGUGGGGAGCAAACAGGAUUAGAUACCCCGGUAGUC